UAGGGAAUCUUCCACAAUGGACGAAAGUCUGAUGGUGCAACGCCGCGUGAGUGAAGAAGGGUUUCGGCUCGUAAAACUCUGUUGUUAAAGAAGAACAUAUCUGAGAGUAACUGUUCAGGUAUUGACGGUAUUUAACCAGAAAGCCACGGCUAACUACGUGCCAG
rnacentral:rRNA from 1 species